rnacentral:rRNA from 1 species
UACGAAGGGGGCUAGCGUUGCUCGGAAUCACUGGGCGUAAAGCGCACGUAGGCGGAUUGCUAAGUCAGGGGUGAAAUCCUGGAGCUCAACUCCAGAACUGCCUUUGAUACUGGCGACCUUGAGUCCGGGAGAGGUGAGUGGAACUGCGAGUGUAGAGGUGAAAUUCGUAGAUAUUGGGAAGAACACCGGUGGCGAAGGCGGCUCACUGGCUCGUUUCUGACGCUCAGGCGCGACAGCGUGGGGAUCAAACAGG